GAUGAACGCUAGCGGGAGGCCUAACACAUGCCAGCCGAGCGGUAUUUGUUCUUCGGAACAGAGAGAGCGGCGCACGGGUGCGGAACACGUGUGCAACCUGCCUUUAUCUGGGGGAUAGCCUUUCGAAAGGAAGAUUAAUACCCCAUAAUAUAUUGAGUGGCAUCAUUUGAUAUUGAAAACUCCGGCGGAUAGAGAUGGGCACGCGCAAGAUUAGAUAGUUGGUGAGGUAACGGCUCACCAAGUCAAUGAUCUUUAGGGGGCCUGAGAGGGUGAUCCCCCACACUGGUACUGAGACACGGACCAGACUCCUACGGGAGGCAGCAGUGAGGAAUAUUGGACAAUGGGUUAGCGCCUGAUCCAGCCAUCCCGCGUGAAGGACGACGGCCCUAUGGGUUGUAAACUUCUUUUGUAUAGGGAUAAACCUACUCUCGUGAGAGUAGCUGAAGGUACUAUACGAAUAAGCACCGGCUAACUCCGUG
rnacentral:rRNA from 1 species